rnacentral:misc_RNA from 1 species
ACGGCCGAUUCUCGUCGUUGAUACGCGCUUCUUUAUGGCAGAUAAUCGGAGAACGCCACAGCGGUAUGUAUUGUGUCUCGUUGAGGGUCCAUUGGAAGCUAAAGCGGAGAAAGGCGGAGCGUACAAGAUAUAUAUAACGUCGAAGCAAGAUGUAAAAAAGAGGGAAGGAAAAUCCUGCGAGGACACGAGUUAUGUCUUAACUGGCGUAAGUCUGGAAGACCGUCAUCCGUGAAGUAGAUGGCACAGCGACGAGACUAGAAAGAGUAAAGGAAUAGAAAACGGGGGGUAGGGUCGGUCGGUAGAAAGAGAAGGAGAGGAGGGAAGCCUGAUAUCUUAGAUCAGGUUACGGCACCCUCGCAUCUAGGCCACCAAGCCUUUAAAAGUGGGUCACAAGUCAUCAAUCGCCUGCGGCACGCUACCUUGCUCAGUUGAACCCUCGCAUACAACCCACCUACUCUUCUCUGGAACGUCUCAUCUGGAGCGAAGUAACGCGACACGUUCGGGUCCCUCCUUUCGUUCAUGCUGGCGUUCGCGUUAUCGUGUGUGCGAACCCCGUGUACUUGUUCACCAACGGCAGAAAGCGCGAUCACCAGAUUCCACGUCAGCGAACAAGAGACACGGCGACGAAAUUAACACGUUACCAAGCAACGGCCGCCACCACGCGUUUUCUCGGCUACAUUUUCGAGAGGCUCUUACCUA